rfam:Pteropus alecto contig18647, whole genome shotgun sequence.
GUCUAUGGCCAUGCCACCCUGAACAAGUCCGAUCUCGUCUGAUCUCAAAAGUUAAGCAGGGUCGGGCCUGGUUAGUAGUUGGAUGGGAGACCACCUAAAAAGACCAGGUGCUGUAGGAA